CGAGACUACAUUGAUUGCUGCAUGCAACUUCUUCACUGCACUGCACAGUUGAUCAUGUCAAGGAGACUCACUGACACUGAUACACAAAAGGCGGAACUAUAUACUACACAAGAAAGAUGCAUAAAAAUUAAUGGUCAUGAGAUUGCCACGAUACUGAAAGGGCAAGUCAACAGAAAAUGUCAUGUGCCGGAUGACCAGCUCUGGAGCUGCUCUAACUCUCUGGUGGGGAAUGUGUUUGCUUCUCUGAGGGAGUCCUUUGCCAACGCUCGGUUCAUUCAACUCCAAAAUGGACAAAGUCACCUAAAGCCCUCAAAACUAUCUACCAACUUCUAAAGUUUGCAGCCAAUUAAGCACAAGGCUCCUAUUUAUCGCAGCUUCUAGACUAAACCUGAGGAAGACAAAUAUGGUACUAUAUACAGCAAGUUGAGAUGUCAAAACUUUCUGAUCUUUCUUGUACUGUGCACGCAUUUUUUAAAAGUUAUGGUUAAGUAGUCCUAUCGAAGUCUGCCAUUUAUAGCGUAAAUUUCACAUGUAAACAAAGAGAAGAAUAUGUAUUAUAGAGAAGAAUAUACA